CUCAGAGACUCCAUUGUUGUAGACCCUACUUUCUCCUCAGAGACUCCAUUAUUGCAGAUAUCUACUCUACUAUCAUUCAUGGUUACUUCAGGUUCUUGGAUCCAUAUAAAAAUGGCGUACUGACUAAAUCAGAAUCUUAGGGUUGGAUUUUUCUAAUAAGAAUAAGUUAACCUUAGAUGAUCGGUGUCGAGCGGAUUCUCAAUAGAAAGACUGCUGUGAAUAUGUGGGGGCCAUAUAGCCGUGUGUUAUUUUCUUGGGAAAUUAUGAAUUUUAUGAUUUAAUGUUGCGUAAUUUUAAUUUUAUUUUAUUGUAAAGACUAUUAUUUAUUUUUCCUAAACCCGGGUUAUAUUUUUUUUAAAUUAUCAAUGAAGAAGGCAACACUUUUUACGAUUUAUUAAGUUAAUUUUUCAACAUCUUU